rnacentral:rRNA from 1 species
AUUGAACGCUGGCGGAAUGCUUUACACAUGCAAGUCGAACGGCAGCACGGACUUCGGUCUGGUGGCGAGUGGCGAACGGGUGAGUAACAUAUCGGAACGUAUCCAAUAAUGGGGGAUAACGAGUCGAAAGAUUCGCUAAUACCGCAUACGCCCUACGGGGGAAAGCUGGGGACCUUCGGGCCUGGCGUUAAUGGAGCGGCCGAUAUCUGAUUAGCUAGUUGGUGAGGUAAAGGCUCACCAAGGCGACGAUCAGUAGCUGGUCUGAGAGGACGACCAGCCACACUGGAACUGAGACACGGUCCAGACUCCUCCGGGAGGCAGCAGUGGGGAAUUUUGGACAAUGGGCGCAAGCCUGAUCCAGCCAUUCCGCGUGAGUGAAGAAGGCCUACGGGUUGUAAAGCUCUUUCGCAAGGGAAGAAAACUUAGCCACUAACAUUGGUUGAGGUUGACGGUACCUUGAUAAGAAGCACCGGCUAACUACGUGCCAGCAGCCGCCGUAA